rnacentral:lncRNA from 1 species
CUUGCCUGGACAUCUGGCAGCAGCUGUGGACAGAGAGCACAGCUCCUUGCUGGGAGCUGUUGGCUCUCCCCCUUCCAUCCCAGAGCCUGAGUCUGAAAAAACCACAGAGAAGACCUGCAAGAUUGGUGACUUCAUUGAAAACUCUCUCCAGGCAAUAUUUUCUCUCUCCAUGGUUCUCCACACCUCCGACUUUACCAUGAAUGUCACUGAACUUCUCAAGGCUCUCCCCUAAAAUUAAGAAUUAAGUUUGAAAUUGAAGGGUUCAAAACUGAGGCUUCAAAAACUCAGUUUCAUUUCAUUAAUGCUCCCUGCACCCCUUCUACUUCAAUUAGGAAUUUUGUCAUAUAUGCUAAAGUUCAUUAAUUAUCAUAUUUUGGGGUCUUGGCAGGCAGUUUAAAAAUAAUCCCAUAGCCUUUGGAGCUUUGAUUUCAGAAGAUU